rnacentral:rRNA from 1 species
AUUGAACGCUGGCGGCAGGCCUAACACAUGCAAGUCGAGCGGUAGCACAAGAGAGCUUGCUCUCUGGGUGACGAGCGGCGGACGGGUGAGUAAUGUCUGGGAAACUGCCUGAUGGCGGGGGAUAACUAGUGGAAACGGUAGCUAAUACCGCAUAACGUCGCAAGACCAAAGUGGGGGACCUUCGGGCCUCACGCCAUCAGAUGUGCCCAGGUAGGAUUAGCUGGUAGGUGGGGUAACGGCUCACCUAGGCGACGAUCCCUAGCUGGUCUGAGAGGAUGACCAGCCACACUGGAACUGAGACACGGUCCAGACUCCUACGGGAGGCAGCAGUGGGGAAUAUUGCACAAUGGGCGCAAGCCUGAUGCAGCCAUGCCGCGUGUGUGAAGAAGGCCUUCGGGUUGUAAAGCACUUUCAGCGAGGAGAAAGGGUAAUGUGUUAAUAAGACAUUGCAUUGACGUUACUCGCAGAAGAAGCACCGGCUAACUCCGUGCCAGCAGCCGCGGUAAUACGGAGGGUGCAAGCGUUAAUCGGAAUUACUGGGA